rnacentral:pre_miRNA from 1 species
GUAUUGUCAGGAGUUCCCUCGGAACACUUCAAUGGGGAUGGCUUUUCGAAAGGAAGCUUUUCUUCACUGAAGUGUUUGGGGGAACUCUUGGUGGUAC